rnacentral:lncRNA from 1 species
AAUCCCAGCGGAGAGAUGCUGGCGCAAGAAGGCUUGCUGAGCAUCGCCUGCAGCAGCCACAGCGAGCAGGUGGCUUAUUUGCUGGUCGAAAGAAGCAGGCUGCUGGGAAAGAUCGAGGCGCUGGAGCAGAAGCUGGGUUCCCCCUGCUGUCUGGGACACUUUUGUGCUGCUCGCCUGCAGUCUCGCGAUGAGGAAUUGGCAGGAAAAGGUGCUCGCCAGGAGCAGGCAGAGCGAGACCUGGACGAGGCUCCUCACUGGCUGCCAGUGGCUCGUGACGGCAUCCAGGACCCAAUGGGAGAGCCAGGGACCCCCGACGUGGAGCAGAGCAGACCGGGUGAGUUCAGCUCCAAACCACUGGCACAUUUCUUUUUUAAAACUUGGACUCUCUGACCCUGGAAAGUAGAGUACGGAUAGCCCAAACUCUAGUCCAACCCAACAACCUUUCAGUAUUUCUCAUCUUCUCACCCUCAAGCCCUCUUGCGAACCAACCUCCAGACUAUAUACCGUGUUUUCCCAAAAAUAAGACAGGGUCUUACAUUAAUUUUUGCUCCAAAAAAACCCUAUUAGGGGUAAUUUUCAGGGGAUGUUUUAUUUUACAGUCCUGUCAUC